AUUGAACGCUGGCGGCAGGCUUAACACAUGCAAGUCGAGCGGGGAAGGGUAGCUUGCUACCUAACCUAGCGGCGGACGGGUGAGUAAUGCUUAGGAAUAUACCUUAAAGACUGGGACAACCUGGGGAAACUCAGGCUAAUACCGGAUAAGCUCCGAGGAGGAAAGCUGGGGACCGCAAGGCCUGGCGCUUUAAGAAUAGCCUGCGUCCGAUUAGCUAGUUGGUAGGGUAAAUGCCUACCAAGGCGACGAUCGGUAGCUAGUCUGAGAGGAUGGACAGCCACACUGGGACUGAGACACGGCCCAGACUCCUACGGGAGGCAGCAGUGGGGAAUAUUGGACAAUGGGGGCAACCCUGAUCCAGCAAUGCCGCGUGUGUGAAGAAGGCCUGAGGGUUGUAAAGCACUUUCGGUGGGGAGGAGGUUGCUUAGGUUAAGAGCUAGAGUGAUGGACGUUACCCGCAUAAGAAGCACCGGCUAACUCCGUGCCAGCCGCCGCAGUAA
rnacentral:rRNA from 1 species